AUGCACGCUGGCGGCGUGCCUAAUACAUGCCAGUCGCGCGAACAGACGAGGAGCUUGCUCCUCUGACGUUAGCGGCGGACGGGUGAGUAACACGUGGAUAACCUACCUAUAAGACUGGGAUAACUUCGGGAAGCCGGAGCUAAUACCGGAUAAUAUAUUGAACCGCAUGGUUCAAUAGUGAAAGACGGUUUUGCUGUCACUUAUAGAUGGAUCCGCGCCGCAUUAGCUAGUUGGUAAGGUAACGGCUUACCAAGGCGACGAUGCGUAGCCGACCUGAGAGGGUGAUCGGCCACACUGGAACUGAGACACGGUCCAGACUCCUACGGGAGGCAGCAGUAGGGAAUCUUCCGCAAUGGGCGAAAGCCUGACGGAGCAACGCCGCGUGAGUGAUGAAGGUCUUCGGAUCGUAAAACUCUGUUAUUAGGGAAGAACAAAUGUGUAAGUAACUAUGCACGUCUUGACGGUACCUAAUCAGAAAGCCACGGCUAACUACGUG
rnacentral:rRNA from 1 species